AACAGAAAAGAGUUAAAAUUAUGCAGGUGCCAACCAAAAUUCUCUUCCUUUCUGUCAUUUUUAGAUAACCAUAAAUAACAGAAGCACAUAGGUUUGAUUACAUUCGUACUUUUCUUUCAUCCAGAAUUUAGCACAUGCCCCACAGAUAACAUGGGAAAUGUCUUAAGGCUGAAGGGAGGCAAGUGUUGAGGGCAGCUCCAUUCAGAUGGGGAUUUCCCACCCAGUAUAAACUGGUGCUGUUGUGUCAAAGACUCCACAGCAUCCUAAGCAAGCAGCAGGGCAUGCACCUUUUCUCUCUGGUGCUGGGGCAGCAUUGUGUGACAGGCUGCUGUCUGGAAUGUGCCAGAAGAGACUGACUGACUGUGAAGGUGUCAUACUUAGAUCCAGCUGCAUGGUCCAACUAUUCCCUACAGCUGAGGAGUGGAACUUCUGGAAGGCUGUCAUGUCCUAACUAUGAACCAGUUCUGGAGUUCUUCUCUAGGAUUCUCCAAGGAAGAGAGAGACAACAUGGGUGUGUGCUGCAGUUCCCCAGCCUUCUUCCAGAAUGGAUUUAGUUACUGCCAUGCUCUGCAGAAGGAGCACAGCCAGUCCUCUCAAAAAACAGAGCCAAAAACUGCUGCUGGCAGGAUCUGGCCAAGAGGAAUCUCACCAGGGAUCUUGAAAACUUCCCAUUGGACUAAAGUGAUGAGGACACUGCACUGCUGGAAUUAUCAUCACUGCUGUACCUUCUGCUUGCAGCCGUGCCCCAGUAGGCACCUCAAUGCUGCCUCUAUUGCCCCAUCAGCACCAGCUGGAUGCAAGAAAGCAGCUGAUGUGGGAGUCGUGUACUGCUGGGAAACAGGUGACAGCUGUAAGCAGGAGAUGGCACUCAGCAGUGUUUGUGAUUGCAAAGCUCCCUCUGACACAACACCCAUAAAAAACAUUCAGGGUGGGGAGCUAGACAGCUGGAGCUCUUUGCCACGCAAACACUGGGAAGAAAGGGGGAAAAUCUGGUUAUUGCACCAGGAAAAGUAAGUAGCUGGUUCCCCAGGAGAACAGACAGUGCCUUCACAGCUGAAGCCCCUCAGUGGGAUUAGGCCCUAACCAGUUGUCCUUGAAGUAAGCUGGGAGCCAAAGCCAGCAGUGGAAAGAGAACUAGCCAGAAACACAAAUUGUGAUAGAUAGUGACCUGAGCCUGAGGAUACCCCAGCUCAGGGUACCAAAGGGAGAAGAGCUAUUCAGACAGACUCCCAGAAGAUGACUGGGUUGAACCACCUCCAUUCUGGCAGUACCAUCUAUUUCAGAGUGAAGGGCACACAGCAGGUUGUUUCUCACUAUCAUGAAGAUUGCUUCAGGAUCAGGACUACAACUCCUGUCACUUCUCAUGGCAGCCAACACAUCCCUUUGCUUUCCUGGAUCUUGCCCUGCCCGCCUUUGCUUCCAGCAAAGCUAAAGACUUUAGCUUUGCUGGAAGACCAGGCAGACCUGACCUCCACUGAGGCUGGUGUGAUGCCCCAGUCUCUGGAUCAGAAAUGGUCACAAUGAUGUGAAAAUUUUCUUCUUCAGCCUGGUUUUCAAAGAUAUCAAUCAUCUCUUCCUUUCUUCCUCAUCAUUCAAUCAUCUAUAAUUGGCUUAUUUUUCUGCUAUUCAGUGAAUCUUCUGUCAUUUAGAAAAUGCAACAAGAACUGUAAGUUCUUACACUACAGUGCAUUUUCUAUCCAGUAGAUUUAUAAACCUAAAAGCCCUUCUUUCUAGAUGAUAUCAACUGCAUUUUUGCUCUGAUUUGGUUUUGGUCUAGAGAGCUAAAAAAUACAUUCUAAAGCUAACCCUGUCCAAGGAGUUUAUAUAUAUAAAGAAAUUGCUGCAGUAUCUAAUCCUGAACACAACACUCAAGAGGUAAUAUUAUUGCUCUGACAUAUAUUUGAAAAAUGUGAGAUGAGAUUAAGGGCAAAGAGAGCUGAAUCUGAGAGCAUUCUAUACUACAAAGUUCAAAACACAAACUAAACCAGGAAGUCUCAGUUACAAAAAGAACACAAUUAUACCAGCUUUACGAGUGUUUUAAACACAACCAACUUCAUUUAUGACCUUGUACCAAAUGAUUUAAGCCCAGUUUAACUGCUUUAGGAAAGUGUCCAAGAUGCUAUCAGUGGGGCAAGACUGAGCUGAUCCAAAGCUCUUUCUGAAAGACAUGGGAGUCCAGGAAACAGCAGAGCUAGUCCCAGACUGCCUCCCAGUCUGUCUUCCUCCAUUUUAUUUUAUUACUUUCACUUUAGGGCAAUUGUUUGACAUACUCAUUCAUAGGGUCUAAGAGUUCCCACCAUCUGUAUUCUGUUAUGUGUAAGCUUAAGGAAAGAAGGGAGAAGAGAGAGAAAUGUGAAGCAAUAACAGCUGCAUAAUUUCUGCUUUGUUUAUUUGUUCUUUCUCCUUUCACACACUGGUAUUAAACAUUCUUUUUCGUUCUCCUGUAUUUCCCAACUUUUUCCUCCUACACACUCCCAUAAUACAAUAUCUAUCUCCCAUAAUACAAUGUCUUGAGGAUGUUUUUCAAUUAAAUAGCAAAAUAUAAACAGCUUCAUACUUCAAUACUUUUGUGCUACUUCUACCUAUCAUUAGUCAUUUUAGUGAAAGCACUUUGGAUUGUAUAACUCCAGUACUUCUAUCAAAGUAAAACUAGUUUCUCAAACUUCCUUUAUAUUUAUUACUCUGAAAUGAGGCACAUGCAUUCAGCAUCUAUAUGCAAACACAGCACUCUUUUGCAAGGUACAUAUAUAGGAUUUUCUUGUUUCUGAGAUGCAAGACCACCUUUCUCCCUAUAAAAGCCUAGAAGUAUACAUGCUCCCCAAUCUCAAAUUGUCCUGCAUAAGACCCAUCUGCUCCAGACAACUACAGCAUGUCAGAAAUUAACUGUUUUAAAUGAAUUUUGUAUAACAUGUAACUAAAAGGGGGAAUAUAAACAUCUCCUUGAAUGUUGCAUUAUCUGAACAUGAACAACACAGAACAGAGUGCCAUGGAAUUAUGGUCAAUUUAGUCAAUUAGCUAUUUUGGUCACUAAUCUAUUAUUCAUUGCAUUUUGAUAAACAAUGGGUUUUUAUGGCUUAAUAACAAAUUCUCCAUCUGGUUUGCCUACAUAGACUCCUGCCUGCACUUGCAAAUUCCCUCAGUAAGCCUGUAUUAUUUGCCAACAGUUUUUUGUCAAAACUAGCUCUGCUUAUGAAGUUGUCCUGAAAUUAGGGAUACACAGCUGUUCUUUCUUGCCAAGAGAAUAUUCCCAAGUGUAUUUUUACCUGCCAAUACCUCUCUGAAAUACGCAUGUCCAGAACUCAAAAAGUGGAAAAUUCUGCUGUAAAAAAAUAAACAAUCCCACAUGAACUGCAAUUUGUUUAUUUGUGAUAGCUUACACAUUUGCCUAUAUGCAUGUACCAAAAGGCAGGAAACCUGUUUUAUUAAUAAACAUCUUUUAAAUUCA